rnacentral:ncRNA from 1 species
CUCUUGUUCCGUCAAGAGUAACCUAGCAACAAUGUAGGAUUGGUGACAAUCUUUCGUUAAGCUGUUGUGACAAUGAAUCCCUCUAAGUUGAGCCGUGAGGUCAAGACGUAACUGUCAGCAUCGGAUGGUAGGGA